GUGGAGAAGGGUACCUCUCGUAUAGAAUCAAAACCAUUCAGAGGAAUUUGGCUUCAUCAGAGAAACGGCCCACUCAACUAUACUCUGGAGUGCCAACUGUUGAGAGGGAGCCCAGUCCAUCCACUUUGGCUACCCUGAGUGACGACCAGUGCUGAGAGGCUAGGAAAUUGACCUUUGAGUACAGGAAGAAGAUGACUCACGACCCGGGUAAAUGCUCCACCAUCCUAACCGAAUUUCCACACUUUCUGGAUGUGAAGGGCUUGAUUGACCAGGAUUUUAUGCUGCUGUUUGGAGAGGGAACAUCAGACAAGUUUUUGGAGAGGUGGCCAACUACAUUCAAGCAAAAUACCAUCAUGCUAAGCAAGACCCUAAGCAAGGCCACUCAGGGAGCUGAACUUCAGGAGCUGAUCCAGAUGGCAGAAUCUGCAGUUGAUGAGGGAGCUGACACGAAUGCUGAUGGAUGGGACGAUGAACUUUCGUCCAUCCUUCUCCUGCUCCAAUUGAUUCUUCCUUCAUCACAAGGCUGAAAAGGACCAGGCAAGAUGUCUGCAUCCCAAACUGAACAGCAUCUUGUGAUAUUCCAAAAGGCAGGAACCAGUAUCCAGGAGCACCUUGAUGUGAUUAACCAGAGCCGCCAACCAUGUCGAGACCAGGAAGAGCAGCAUCCACGCUUACUUCUUCCUCCCGGACAAGCUAGCCUUGCCGUGCAAGUCAACGAGCGCUCUUGGUGCCUUCGAUGAGCUUUUCAAGACUCACUUUGUUUUUGGUACGGCUUACAAUACAAUGCUGCGCAACAUGUACACCUUCAUACAGACAGCAUAUACAACAUAGACAUUGGGAAGGUUAAGGAGACUCCGAGGGUUGCUGAGAUCAGAACUAAACUCCUGUACUAACGCUGAUUAAGUUCUAAUGAUAUGUUUUGUUUGCCAUGCUAGUCAUGGAAGUACCAACUUUUUCGUGAGGCAUCUCAAGUUGAUGCAUGGAUUGUUCCCUGGUAGAACUCGUAGACUAACAUGUGGUCAAGCAGAUUGUUGUCGGGGAUUUGGUACAUUUUCAGGAAGCAGUUGAGAAGUGCACAUUCCGGAGACUCAGAUUUUGUUAAACACUAACUUUGAUGCUAAUACAGCCAUUGAUAGUUAGCCAAAUAAUGCUAAUUUCCCUUCAAAUUCUAGUUGUAACCAUGUUGUACCAAUAUCUAACAAAAACACACUUGAUAUGUGUACGUCUGCUAUUGCACAGCUGCAGGUGUUGGUCAGAUGACUGUAAAUAGUUUUGUAUCUUCCAUGGAAGAAGCAGUUCAAGAGAUACAGGGUCAAGCUAAAGUGUCUGCUCUUACACGUAUAUCUUCAAAAGACACAGAAACAGUCUUUUCAGGAUAUUGAAAAUCCUUGCACAUUGUUGAAUUCGGUAUCAAAACGAAGUGCUUAUUUCAUACAAAAAUUAAGAACAGUUCAACCAGUUGAGAAAGUCCUUGGUGUUAGAUUUGACAAUAGAAGAAACAACACUACUGGAACUUAUGAUCAAAUAGUCAUAACUUAUACAUUUUCUGACGUUCCAAUUCUCCCGACAUUGCAGUCAAUUUUGAAGAACCCAAACACAAGUGACAUGUUUAACUUGGGGCACAAUUUUAAAGAUGGACUAUAUAUGAAGAGACAUAUUUACAUUUACAUUUAAGUCAUUUAGCAGACGCUCUUAUCCAGAGCGACUUACAAAUAUAGGGCGUAUACAUGGCAGUAUCGUCAAAGUAACUGGAGAUAAUCUUGGUACACAUUGCCUGUUUGAUUUUGUGGAAUCUUUUGGUGCUAGUUUUUGUUGACGUUUUUGCCUCACUGAGAAAGUGGAUUUUCAAACUGUUGCCCUCAUGAGUGACUUUAUGAACAAAACACAUGCACUCAGACCAUUGUCAAACUUUUCAGUCAAACCCAAACACUACCUCAUGUGUACGGUGUGAAGCAUGCUUACUUAUUGAACUCUCUGCAGUACUUCAAUAUGGCAGACACUUUUUUCGUUGAUAUAAUGCAUGACAUUUUAGAAGGAGUUGCACAAUUUGAGGUAAAACUUGUCUUACAGUAAGAGGAUAAAUACUGGCAUCUACUUCUGUUACUACUACUACACAUUGUAAAUAUUGACUAUCUGUCUGAAGCAGUUAAUUGCUGAACAUCAUAGGCUUUUCAAGUAUCUGUUUCCUGACAGAAAUCUGUUUACCGAAACACCACUUCAUGAUACAAUAUCCUCAUUGUAUAAGGAAUAUUGGGCCCAUUCUUCACUCGUGUAUGCGCUACAAGGCAAAACAGAAUUUCUUUAAAAAAGCAAUUGUAGAGUUUUAAGAAUGUCACUAUGAACUUAGCCAAGGAACACCAAAAUCACAUGGCAUAUAAUUGGGAAACGUUCAGCCAGGAUAGACUAGCUUCAGAUCAAGGCUCAAGGCUGAAAGAAGGCCAUGAGAUCGCUGCCAAGUUGAUUGUCUCAGUGCGCACAAAUGUUUUGUCAGUUAAAUGGGUAAAGCCCCAUGGUAUAGAAUAUAGUCUUGAUUUGGUCAUAUGUGGUGAAGUAGCCAUUGAAAUGCCAGUAUUUUACAAGAUUACGGUUAUUGUUCUUAAAGAGGAAAAUGUUGUUUUGGGUUGGGUCAGCUCUUGAAGCAUUAUGUUUUGAUCAUUUGCAUGCAUUUACAGUUGUUCUGAAGCAAAGUCCACCAUGCAAGGUAUUUCAUGUAAAUGACAUCGUGUACCACAAACCUUUUCAUUUGCUCAUGUCAUAUGGAGUAAUGGAUUUUCUUGACUACAUUGUCCCCUACUGUGACUUGAUAACAGUUUAAGCCAGGGCUGAGAGUUACAGAUAGGUUGUGAGAAACAUAUUUGAAUGUUGAAACAGCUUUGCUUGAGUUUAUUGUGAAAUUCCAAGUGCUUUUACAAAAUAUAAUUUCCAUUUACAUGGGGGAAGAGUAAA